UACGGGGGGGGCAAGCGUUGUUCGGAAUUACUGGGCGUAAAGGGCUCGUAGGCGGCCAACUAAGUCAGACGUGAAAUCCCCAGGCUCAACCUGGGAACUGCGUCUGAUACUGGAUGGCUUGAAUCCGGGAGAGGGAUGCAGAAUUCCAGGUGUAGCGGUGAAAUGCGUAGAUAUCUGGAGGAAUACCGGUGGCGAAGGCGGCAUCCUGGACCGGCAUUGACGCUGAGGAGCGAAAGCCAGGGGAGCAAACAGG
rnacentral:rRNA from 1 species